UCAGGACUCUUCAUGUUCUCCCUCAUUGACAAAGGGCAGUGGAUUUCUGGAAAUCUAUUUUCAGUAGACUUCAGUAACUCAAUUUUACCUAUCCACACUGUGUGGUAUAGUAUCAUCAUGUAAAAAUCAGAAGCAUCAAAAAUCAGACAAACCUAGACUCACUCCUCAAUUCUUUUACCAGAGUUGCAGGUGAGGGAACUCAACCGUUACAUAUAACUUCACUUUUCUAUGGAGAAAUAAAUUCUGAGAUGC
rnacentral:lncRNA from 10 species